rnacentral:rRNA from 1 species
GAUGAACGCUGGCGGCGUGCCUAAUACAUGCAAGUCGAGCGAACAGACGAGGAGCUUGCUCCUCUGACGUUAGCGGCGGACGGGUGAGUAACACGUGGAUAACCUACCUAUAAGACUGGGAUAACUUCGGGAAACCGGAGCUAAUACCGGAUAAUAUAUUGAACCGCAUGGUUCAAUAGUGAAAGACGGUUUUGCUGUCACUUAUAGAUGGAUCCGUGCCGCAUUAGCUAGUUGGUAAGGUAACGGCUUACCAAGGCAACGAUGCGUAGCCGACCUGAGAGGGUGAUCGGCCACACUGGAGCUGAGACACGGUCCAGACGCCUACGGGAGGCAGCAGUAGGGAAUCUUCCGCAAUGGGCGAAAGCCUGACGGAGCAACGCCGCGUGAGUGAUGAAGGUCUUCGGAUCGUAAAACUCUGUUAUUAGGGAAGAACAAAUGUGUAAGUAACUAUGCACGUCUUGACGGUACCUAAUCAGAAAGCCACGGCUAACUACGUG